AUUGAACGCUGGCGGCAUGCCUUACACAUGCAAGUCGAACGGCAGCACGGGUGCUUGCACCUGGUGGCGAGUGGCGAACGGGUGAGUAAUACAUCGGAACGUACCUUAUCGUGGGGGAUAACGCAGCGAAAGUUGCGCUAAUACCGCAUACGCCCUGAGGGGGAAAGCGGGGGACCGUAAGGCCUCGCGCGAUUAGAGCGGCCGAUGUCUGAUUAGCUUGUUGGUGAGGUAAAAGCUCACCAAGGCGAUGAUCAGUAGCUGGUCUGAGAGGACGAACAGCCAGACUGGGACUGAGACACGGCCCAGACUCCUACGGGAGGCAGCAGUGGGGAAUUUUGGACAAUGGGGGCAACCCUGAUCCAGCAAUGCCGCGUGAGUGAAGAAGGCCUUCGGGUUGUAAGCUCUUUUGUCAGGGAAGAAACAGCAGCUCUAACACAGUCUGCGAAUGACGGUACCUGAAGAAUAAGCACCGGCUAACUACGUGCCAGCCGCCGCCGUAA
rnacentral:rRNA from 1 species